ensembl:snRNA U6 U6 spliceosomal RNA
GUGAUCACUUAUACUAACAUAGGAAUGAUACAGAGAAGAGUAGCAUGCCCCUGUAAAAGGAUGCAACACAAAUUUGCAAGGCAUUCCAUAUUUUU